UACGUAGGGUGCGAGCGUUAAUCGGAAUUACUGGGCGUAAAGCGUGCGCAGGCGGUUGUGUAAGACAGAUGUGAAAUCCCCGGGCUCAACCUGGGAACUGCGUUUGUGACUGCACGGCUAGAGUACGGCAGAGGGGGGUGGAAUUCCUGGUGUAGCAGUGAAAUGCGUAGAGAUCAGGAGGAACAUCGAUGGCGAAGGCAGCCCCCUGGGCCUGUACUGACGCUCAUGCACGAAAGCGUGGGGAGCAAACAGG
rnacentral:rRNA from 1 species